UGGGAACAUGUAAUGAUUGAUUAAAGCCAGCUGUUUAGCUAAAACCCCCUUUGUUUAGGUCAGUAAAAAGGCAUAUUAGUGGUCACUUAGGGGUUAAGCUACUGUUUGAUCAGUGUAGGGA